GACGAACGCUGGCGGCGUGCUUAACACAUGCAAGUCGAACGGAAAGGCCCUGCUUUUGUGGGGUGCUCGAGUGGCGAACGGGUGAGUAACACGUGAGUAACCUGCCCUUGACUUUGGGAUAACUUCAGGAAACUGGGGCUAAUACCGGAUAGGAGCUCCUGCUGCAUGGUGGGGUUUGGAAAGUUUCGGCGGUUGGGGAUGGACUCGCGGCUUAUCAGCUUGUUGGUGGGGUAGUGGCUUACCAAGGCUUUGACGGGUAGCCGGCCUGAGAGGGUGACCGGCCACAUUGGGACUGAGAUACGGCCCAGACUCCUACGGGAGGCAGCAGUGGGGAAUAUUGCACAAUGGGCGGAAGCCUGAUGCAGCAACGCCGCGUGCGGGAUGACGGCCUUCGGGUUGUAAACCGCUUUCGCCUGUGACGAAGCGUGAGUGACGGUAAUGGGUAAAGAAGCACCGGCUAACUACGUG
rnacentral:rRNA from 1 species